AUUAAAACAAUAUUUUAUUGUAUAACAUCUUCAAAAAUAUAGCCUGAAUAUUUUGAGAUGCUAUAAAUAACAUACAAAUAUCUUCUUUUUCGAGUCUGAUGUUAGAUUACAUAGAAAUGUUGGGACACAUAAAUGUAUGUAGGGAAAAAUAUCCCAAACAUAGAUCAGAUAGAAUAAUUGAUAUGAAAUUGCUGAGAGAGCUAGUCUGAAUUCAACUCAAGCAAAGUACUACCUUUCUAUACUUUUCACUAUAGUAUUUUAUCUUAUGCAGCACAUAGAGGGUAUACAUUUCUAUAGGAUUACAAAAACACUUAAUUAAAACUUCAUCACAUCAAUUAAACACCAUCUCAAUGUUUCUAAAACUGGAAAAAAAAAAUGCAAUGUUACCUACAAUCAGUGGCUUCGCUAGGUUUUCUUGGCCCCCUGUACAGCACAUUGGGUCAAUAUCCCUCGAUAGGAAUCGUGGACUGUGGUCCCCCUCAGUGGGGGGUAGAUUGGGGGGAGGGGGAUGAGAGGACGUUGAGGGGCCCCACAGUAGCUCUGGGCCCCAUGCACUCUGUCCCGCUGUUCCUCCACUAGUGACGCCCCUGCCUUCAAUAUGUACACAAAGUGCACGGAGGCACUUUAAAAUUCAUGCUUUUUUAGAAACUGGUGCAAAAACACUAAAUGUCCAUGCAUCUAACAGUGAGAGAAAACACAAGAGUGGCUCAACGCUCAAUGACCAAACAAUCUCAACAGUCUGAAACGUCUGCCUUUUGAUGGGCAACACUCACAACAUCUAAAAUUCACAUUAUGAUUCUAUGUAAUGUGGCAACAUGAACUUGUGCUCAUAUGGCAUUUAUUCUCUUGGCAAGGGUUAUAACACUGGAACAUCAAAGAGCUGUUUAGUAUUCAAGACAUCAUAGAGAGACGUCUUAAAUGAAUUAGACAUAUUAGGGGUGGAAUUCUAUUGAUAUCUUUGUUUAGCUUUGUCAAAUACAGGGUAAUGUUUAAAAUAAUCAUCAAACAAAUACACAAAUUAAAAAAAUUAAAAAGGCAAAAAACAAACAAUGUUUAGAAUCCUGUGAUCAAAGAUCACACACGGGGAAGAAGUGUGCUCGUCUGAAUGUAUCACUCAUUUGAAAGAAAAAGUACUUUUUUUUUGUCUGAGUCUCUGAUUGGCAGAGUGAGGUAUGUGGAUGUGCAUGUUGAUUUGUCAGCCUGACAGGAAGUGAUGGAAAGUUGGCCUAUGAGUGUUUUGCAGCAUGGUGGGGCUAAGAAACAGUCAUUUAGGAUAGUAAAUCCAGAGGUAGCAUAUUGGAUCAGCUCAGUUAUAAAAUCCUCCUCUUUAUUAUGAUUUAACCCUUCCAUUGAAAAACUACUUUGCUUCAUAGUUAGUUUAGUUGUGAUUUUCUAAAGCUCAAAAGAAAAACUGCUUAAAAAUAGUUAUAAUAGCCUUGGGGCAAUGUCUCUCUGAGGUAAGAACUUCAGCUCAUUUAAAAUAGAUGUCCAAAAAGACAAAAAAAAAAAGACACUAGUAG